rnacentral:rRNA from 1 species
UAACACAUGCAAGUCGAGCGAGGUAGCAAUACCUAGCGGCAGACGGGUGCGUUAACAUGUGGGAAUCUGCCUUUUGGUUCGGAAUAACACGGGGAAACCUGUGCUAAUACCGGAUAAGUCUUUACGGAGAAAGUUUUAAUGCCAAAAGAUGAGCCUACAUUUGAUUAGUUGUUGGUGAGGUAAUGGCUCACCAAGACUACAAUCAAUAGCUGACUUGAGAGGAUGAUCAGCCACACUGGGACUGAGAUACGGACCAGACUCC